CCCUUAGAUGUCCUGGGCCGCACGCGCGCUACACUGAGUGUCUGAGAUACGAGUCUGCCUGGUCCGGCAAGGUCUAGGUAAUCGCUAAAAGACACAUCAUGCUUGGGAUAGAUUAUUGCAAAUAUUAAUCUUGAACGAGGAAUUCCUAGUAAGCGCAAGUCAACAGCUUGCGUUGAUUACGUCCCUGCCCUUUGUACACACCGCCCGUCGCUACUACUGAUUGGAUGUUUAAGCGAGGUUCUCGAACUGCUAGCGACUUAGCUUCGUUGAGGUCGCAGUGUGGGAAGUGAACCUAGCUUUGGUGUCUAGAGGAAGUAAAAGUCGUAACA
rnacentral:rRNA from 1 species